AUAUAUGUGUGUGUGUGUGUGUGUGUGUGUGUGGCGAAUCUAGGGUGUUGUUACUUUUUGCAUAGGCACUGUAUUUCUAUUAAGAAAUCAUUUAAAUAUUUAUAAAUAUUUAAUUAUGAACCCAGUUACUAUUGCAUAUUAACUUAGGCCCUGUUUGAGCCAAAAUAAAUUUGGAAUUUAUUUUCGAAACUCAUGUUUGGUCAUAAAUUUUGACCACAUCUUGGCCAAAUGCCAAAUCCGAAAUCCCAAAUACC
rnacentral:lncRNA from 1 species